GGCUCUUUAGUAAAAUAGGUAUUACUUGAGCGUUUCAUACUCAAAUUACCAGUUCAAGUCUGGUAAGAGCUA
rnacentral:tRNA from 1 species